GCUUUCUCCCUGGUCACAUUCACAACGCAUCUCAAAUAUCCAGCUCUGUUCUAUUAAUUCCCCGUGAACACAGCCAACUUGAGCUCGGACCUUCAAAACCACAGAAGAAUUAAGCUACAGUGAGCGUCUAUCGUAGCUGAAAACCACUUCCUCUGGGUCACUGCAGGGUGCACAACAACCAGCGUCCCCAUGAUUCACUUCUGUCUGGCCCACACGGUGUAUCGCCUGCACUGCUGGCUGCCGAGAUCGUACCGGCUCAGGCUACAAGUGACCGUGUUCUUGUUUGGGACCACCGCUCUGGGCCUCCAGUUGUUUGUUCUGCUAAGGCCCACAUCUUCCCGAUACUGCAGGCCAACCUCUCCUCACCAACUUGGUUGGCAAUAUCAUCUUUACUUUCUUCACAAUUGGUUUCACUGUGCUGCUUACGCAUAUGGAACCAGUCCCGCAGGCACUGAAGAAGAUGUUUGCUGUAUUUGGUGUGGGAUCCUUUGGUGAAGGAGCCUGUACCGUGGUGUUAACAGUUUUGGCAACUGACUGUGAAAAAACGACCCCUGAACUUUACUACUUGUCUGUGCUGCUGUCAGUGAGCAGCUUGGUUUCUGCAGUGCUUUUCUCCAGCCUGGCGCUGAGCUGGCUGGUUAGCGUGGCCUGCGCACCACCAGACACUAAACCAAUAGUCUGAUGCUGGCACGUGAGCCCUCUGGUCUCCUGCCUCACACAGAUGGCUCCGGCAGGUGAGCCUGUCCCAGCAGC